rfam:Asticcacaulis sp. AC466 contig00007, whole genome shotgun sequence.
GGCUCCGUAGCUCAACUGGAUAGAGCAUCCGCCUUCUAAGCGGACGGUUACAGGUUCGAGCCCUGUCGGAGUCG